UGGGGAAUUUUGGACAAUGGGGGCAACCCUGAUCCAGCCAUCCCGCGUGUGCGAUGAAGGCCUUCGGGUUGUAAAGCACUUUUGGCAGGGAAGAAACAGCCUGGGCUAAUAUCCCGGGCGACUGACGGUACCUGCAGAAUAAGCACCGGCUAACUACGUGCCAGCAGCCGCGGUAAUACGUAGGGUGCAAGCGUUAAUCGGAAUUACUGGGCGUAAAGCGUGCGCAGGCGGUUCGGAAAGAAAGGUGUGAAAUCCCAGGGCUUAACCUUGGAACUGCACUUUUAACUACCGGGCUAGAGUACGUCAGAGGGGGGUAGAAUUCCACGUGUAGCAGUGAAAUGCGUAGAGAUGUGGAGGAAUACCAAUGGCGAAGGCAGCCCCCUGGGAUGAUACUGACGCUCAUGCACGAAAGCGUGGGGGGCAAACA
rnacentral:rRNA from 1 species